rnacentral:lncRNA from 11 species
GGCUGUAGCAGGGAGGGAAAAAAUGAGCGGAGCAAUAAAGCAGUCAGAGAAAUCUCUGGAGCCAGGCAGCAAUGCAAUAGUAAUGACAGAUUUUUUAAUGUGGCAGGAGAGAUUGACAGGGAAAUGUCUUCAGAGCAAACGCACGCCAGAUGGAAUGAAAACGGUUUAUUGGAGUAUGGAGAUGCUACUGAACUGAAUAGAGGGCGGGUUUAAGGUGGGUGUUUUAUCUGAUUCAAGUAAACAACAACAGCCCCAUCAUGACCCUAAAUCCCUUCAUUUGGCCAUUGUGUAAACUAGUCUGUUAAAAUGACAAAUGGAAGUAGGGGAAAUAAGGGUCUUUUUUCAAACUUAGAAAAACUUUGCCAAAAAGAAAAACCUUUUAAAUUUUGAGCUGACCUGUGCUGUGCACACUAGAAGUGGAAAGUGGUGUGGAUCAAUUUUUUCCUCUUUCUCAAUCUUCAAAAACAGAAUUAAAUUAAUACUUGUUUCAGGCAGUUGUAAAAGUUUAUUAUCCUUUCUAAAAUGAAAAGGGUGGUAGUAAUACAGGGUUUGGAGUGGAAGGACAAAAUCAAACAAUAUGUAUAUUUACCAAAAGUAAAGAAUUUCUUUAUAUUAAAUAAAAUGCAGUCAGAAGUCUACCUUACAAGACAGGCUUUUAAAACAAAGCUGAUCUUUUGUGCUUCUUUCCAACUACUGUUAACCAACACCUGGAUUUUCUGCAGAAUGGUCUUAACAACCCACAUAAAGCCCUGCAGAGCAAAGGUUCAAGUGAGUUUUCUGUUGUUACCAUUGGCGUGUGAGCUACAUAUGCUACAACACAGUCUGUGGAAAGGCAAUUCAGAACAAACUCAUCAGCAUUCAGAAAAUCAGAAUUCAUCUAUGGCUUAGAUAUGCACAGAGCUUAUUGACAAUG